GAACGCAGCGAAAUGCGAUACUUGGUGUGAAUUGCAGAAUCCCGUGAACCAUCGAGUCUUUGAACGCAAGUUGCGCCCGAAGCCGUUAGGCUGAGGGCACGCCUGCCUGGGCGUCACGC
rnacentral:rRNA from 1 species